GACGAACGCUGGCGGCGUGCUUAACACAUGCAAGUCGAACGGAAAGGCCCCUUUGGGGGUACUCGAGUGGCGAACGGGUGAGUAACACGUGAGUAACCUGCCCUUGACUUCGGGAUAACUUCAGGAAACUGGGGCUAAUACCGGAUAGGAAUCCUUGCUGCAUGGUGGGGGUUGGAAAGCUUCGGCGGUUUUGGAUGGACUCGCGGCUUAUCAGCUUGUUGGUGGGGUAGUGGCUUACCAAGGCUUUGACGGGUAGCCGGCCUGAGAGGGCGACCGGCCACAUUGGGACUGAGAUACGGCCCAGACUCCUACGGGAGGCAGCGGUGGGGAAUACUGCACAAUGGGCGGAAGCCUGAUGCAGCAACGCCGCGUGCGGGAUGACGGCCUUCGGGUUGUAAACCGCUUUCAGCAGGGGCGAAGCUUGUGGUGACGGUACCUGCAGAAGAAGCACCGGCUAACUACGUG
rnacentral:rRNA from 1 species